GAGGUAUUAGUAAAAUAUUAUAUAACUUUGUCAAAGUUAAGUUACAGACUACAGUCUGUAUACCUCA
rnacentral:tRNA from 1 species